UCCUACGGGACGCAGCAGUGGGGAAUAUUGCACAAUGGGGGAAACCCUGAUGCAGCGACGCCGCGUGAGUGAAGAAGUAUCUCGGUACGUAAAGCUCUAUCAGCAGGGAAGAAAAAAAGUCCUUUGGACUUUGGACGGUACCUGACCAAGAAGCCCCGGCUAGCUACGUGCCAGCAGCCGCGGUAAUUCGUAGGAGGCAAGCGUUAUCCGGAUUUACUGGGUGUAAAGGGAGCGUAGACGGCAGCGCAAGUCUGGAGUGAAAUGCCGGGGCCCAACCCC
rnacentral:rRNA from 1 species